AAUAUUGGACAAUGGGGGCAACCCUGAUCCAGCCAUGCCGCGUGUGUGAUGAAGGUCUUCGGAUUGUAAAGCACUUUAAGUUGGGAGGAAGGGCUUUAGGUUAAUAGGCUGAAGUUUUGACGUUACCAACAGAAUAAGAACCGGCUAACUCUGUGCCAGCAGCCGCGGUAAUACAGGGGGUGAAAGCGUUAAGCGGAAUUACUGGGCGUAAAGCGCGCGUAGGUGGUUCAGAAUGAUGGGUGUGAAACCCCCGGGCUUAACCUGGGAACUGCUUUCAUAACUGCUGAGCUAGAGUACGGUAGAGGGUAGUGAAAUUUCCUGUGUAGCGGUGAAAUGCGUAGAUAUGGGAAGAAACCCCAGUGGCAAAGGCGACUACCUGGACUGAUACUGACACUGAGGUGCGAAAGCGUGGGGAGCAAAC
rnacentral:rRNA from 1 species